AGGGGGAACCUCGGAAGGAUCAUUA
rnacentral:rRNA from 1 species